rnacentral:rRNA from 1 species
GGCGCAAACAAAGGGAAGCAACAUCGCGAGGUGAAGCAAAUCCCAAAAAGGCGUCCCAGUUCAGACUGUAGGCUGCAACUCGCCUACACGAAGUCGGAAUCGCUAGUAAUCGCGGAUCAGCAUGCCGCGGUGAAUACGUUCCCGGGCCUUGUACACACCGCCCGUCACACCAUGGGAGUUUGUAACGCCCAAAGUCGGUGGCCUAACCUUUAUGGAGGGAGCCGCCUAAGGCGGGACAGAUGACUGGGGUGAAGUCGUAACAAGGUACC